AUACGGAGGAUCCGAGCGUUAUCCGGAUUUAUUGGGUUUAAAGGGUGCGCAGGCGGGAGAUUAAGUCGGCGGUGAAAUUUUGCAGAUCAACUGUAAAAGUGCCUUCGAAACUGGAUUCCUUUAGUGUAGAUGAAGUAGGCGGAAUUUUUGGUGUAGCGGUGAAAUGCAUAGAUAUCACGAGGAACUCCGAUUGCGCAGGCAGCUUACUAAACUACUACUGACGCUCAGGCACGAAGGCGUGGGGAUCAAACAGGAUUAGAUACCCUGGUAGUCCACGCAGUAAACGAUGAUUACUAGCUGUUGGCGAUACAAUGUAAGCGGCUGAGCGAAAGCGUUAAGUAAUCCACCUGGGGAGUACGUUCGCAAGAAUGAAACUCAAAGGAAUUGACGGGG
rnacentral:rRNA from 1 species